UACAGAAGGGUGCAUCUCACGGAUGGA
rnacentral:piRNA from 1 species